rnacentral:rRNA from 1 species
UACGGAGGAUCCGAGCGUUAUCCGGAUUUAUUGGGUUUAAAGGGUGCGCAGGCGGAAGAUUAAGUCGGUGGUGAAAUUUUGCAGCUCAACUGUAAAAGUGCCAUUGAUACUGGUUUUCUUGAGUGUGGAUGAAGUAGGCGGAAUUUGUGGUGUAGCGGUGAAAUGCAUAGAUAUCACGAGGAACUCCGAUUGCGCAGGCAGCUUACUAAACUACUACUGACGCUCAGGCACGAAGGCGUGGGGAUCAAACAGGAUUAGAUACCCCU